rnacentral:rRNA from 1 species
CCUACGGGGGGCAGCAGUGAGGAAUAUUGGUCAAUGGGCGCGAGCCUGAACCAGCCAAGUCGCGUGAGGGAAGACGGUCCUAUGGAUUGUAAACCUCUUUUGUCGGGGAGCAAAAGACGCCACGUGUGGCGUUCCGAGAGUACCCGAAGAAAAAGCAUCGGCUAACUCCGUGCCAGCAGCCGCGGUAAUACGGAGGAUGCGAGCGUUAUCCGGAUUUAUUGGGUUUAAAGGGUGCGCAGGCGGAAGAUCAAGUCAGCGGUAAAAUUGAGAGGCUCAACCUCUUCGAGCCGUUGAAACUGGUUGUCUUGAGUGAGCGAGAGGUAUGCGGAAUGCGUGGUGUAGCGGUGAAAUGCAUAGAUAUCACGCAGAACUCCGAUUGCGAAGGCAGCAUACCGGCGCUCAACUGACGCUCAUGCACGAAAGUGUGGGUAUCGAACAGGAUUAGAUACCCUGGUAGUC